ACCGGCGUGGUCUAGUGGCUAGGAUACCUGGGUUUCACCCAGGAGGCACGGGUUCGAUUCCCGGCGUCGGAA
rnacentral:tRNA from 1 species